GGAAAUUAGUAAAUUUCAGCACUUCUUUCCCUAUUUUGGGCAAUAUUUCAGGUUUAUUUUCGACUAUCCUUUGUGUUUUUCUUCUCUGCUUCUGUUGCCAAGGUUUGUGACUAAUCUUGCUUGCUCAAUUGUCUUUCUUGUGCUAUGCUUUUAAAAAUUAGGGAUUAAUAAUGGAGCAGUCGCAUUUUCUUCUUCACAUUUACUUGUUCUAUUCCUAGUUUGUUGCUGAGAAUACACACACAUUUCAAUCAUCUUACAGUCGUGUGCUGUGAUUCUAAUUUUCAUCAUAUUAAGGACAUAUAAAUUUGUGAAUUGUAUGAAAAAGUGCAGUCCUGGAAGAGUGGCUAAGAAUUUUCUUGCAUUAUCCUUUA
rnacentral:misc_RNA from 1 species